UACGUAGGUGGCAAGCGUUGUCCGGAUUUACUGGGCGUAAAGCGCGCGUAGGCGGCCCGCACAAGUCUGCGGUGAAAACCCCCGGCUUAACCGGGGGCCGGCCGUGGAAACUGUCGGGCUGGAGGCUGGGAGAGGGCAGCGGAAUUCCCGGUGUAGCGGUGAAAUGCGUAGAGAUCGGGAGGAACACCGGCGGCGAAGGCGGCUGCCUGGACCAGUCCUGACGCUGAGGCGCGAAAGCUGGGGGAGCAAACAGG
rnacentral:rRNA from 1 species